UCACAAGGGAGGUGGUUCUGAGCCAGUGGGAGGAUGAAACAACCUUAAGAAGAAAUUAAAGGAGAGAAAAGACUGUUCCAUGACAACACCAAGGUAUCCAAACAGAAAUAAGUCUGAUGGGUGGAAUACUUUCCUUACAAGCUAUGAUAUUUGCAGGGUCUCAUUCCAGGGCCAAAAGGUCACUAAGAGGGAAAAUGAUAAGCAGGUUUAUAAAACUUCAGAUAGGUUUCUCUUUCGAAUACUAGAAUCCAGUGUCAUCCAAUGAAAGUCAGUGGUGGUAUAUUCUAGGGCUGCAUCCAGGUGCCCUGCUCUGACUCAUGGUUCCAGGUUGUAAAUCCAGAUCCAGAUUAUCAUCCAGAUCAUGAUCCAAAAAAUACAAUUCUUGAAAAAACUCAUUUACUAGCAUAUCAAGGGCUGCUAGAUCAGAUGGCUUUGAAACGGGAUUAGACAACAGCACUCUUUUUUCUUGAAGCCACAGCAUCAGAUGUCAGGCUGCGUCUUGGCAAAAAACACACAAAAUGGCACACCUGGAGAACCUGGAUAACAGCUUCCCUCUGCUUCUUUUUCAGGACCAACAGAUGAUCUCCAAAGUCUUGUUAGAUUCAAGUGGAUUUAUAUGCGUCCAACUGAGACCGGAUCUAGUACUCCAUCUUUUCUGAUGACCAGGAGGUAGUUGUAUAAUUAAAUGAAUAUAUCUUCCAUUAAGGGUGGGGAAGAUGUGGCCCUGUGAUGGAGGAAGUUGGCACCCAGGAACAUCUGAAGACCUCAUAGGUCCCACACUAUCUAUUAAAUGGUGAACAUCUUACUGGAGUCCUGUAAACUAGAUGUCCAGGAGUUAAGGGAGAGGAAUAGGAUGCAAAAUGAGAAUGUACUAUAUUACCUAAAACAAUUUUUAAAAAUGCCUUGGAAUCCAUAUGGAACAUCUUUUUUGGUUUAAAACUGAGAUUGAUCCAGCAAAAGAAAAUGAAAGACAUUUCAGUUAUAUUGGACUCAACAACAUCUUUAUGUUGGAUUGUCUAAUACUACUACUACUACUACUAUUACUACUACUACUACUACUACUACUACUAAUUUUUUAUUUAUACCCUGCCCUCCCCGGCCAGAUCUGGCCUCAGGGCAGCUAACACCAGUAAAAUUACAAUAAAAUGCAGCCUCAUUUUAAUAGUAGCCCUUAGAUCAAAACCAUAAGGUGAGGGAAACAAAAGGGUCAGACUGAGUCCAAACCAUAGGCCACGUGGAACAGCUCUGUCUUGCAGGCCCUGUGGAAAGAUCUCAAAUCCCGCAGGGCCCUAGUCUCUUGUGGCAGAGCAUUCCAACAAGUCGGGGCCAGUACUGCAGCCCCGUGUAGAGCGAGUUACAAUAAUCAAGCCUGGAGGUGAUUGUCGCAUGGAUCACUGUGGCCAGAUCAGGGCGAGAAAGGUAAGGGACCAACUGCUUAAUACGGCAGAGAUGGAAAAAUGCCACCUUUGCUGUGGCUGCAACCUGCGCCUCCAUGGAAAGGGAGGCAUUGAAGGUUACACCCAAGCUUUUGACAGAAGGCACUAGCACUAACUGAGCCCUUGCAAAAGAUGGGAGUUGGCUCCCCAACCCCAUGUCGUCCCAACCCAGCCAGAGGACCUCUGUCUUGAAAGGAUUUAACUUCAACCGGCUCCCACGCAGCCAUCCAGCCGCAGCUUCCAAGCAUCUGGUCAGUGUGUCCAGGGCCGAGUCAGGGCAGCCAUCCAUCAAAAGAUAAAGCUGAGUGUUAUCAGCAUAUUGAUGACAACCGAACCCAAUGCUCCGGACAAUCUAGGCAAGGGGGCACAUAAAGAUGUUGAAAAGCAUUGGUGAAAGGAUUGUGCCCUGUGGGACUCCACACACCAAAGAGUGCCAUGGCAACAACACCCUCCCUAGCGCCACCCUCUGUACCCGACCUGAGAUAAAAUAAUGUAGCCAUUGUUGGACUGUGCCCUGAAUCCCCACGUCGGCAAGGCGGUGGUUCAAAAGUUCAUGAUCAACCAUGUUGAAGGCUGCUGACAGAUCUAAGAGAAUCAGCAGUCCCGACCCGACUGACCAUCGCCGCUCUAUACCUAACGUGCUCAUAGUCUUAAUCUCCAUUUGUUGUUGUCUCAUUCUAGCUUGUUGUUUCACAGACAAGACUGAGAGGAUGGGGAAGCCAGCACCCGCAAAGGCUGCAGCGCCUGCAAAGGCUGCAGCUCCAGGAGGAGCAGAAGAACCAGGAACUGGUGGUCUGUAUACAGCAUAGUCAUAUGGGAUGAGGUGUCUCUUAAAGCAGAGGAAUGCACGGGAAAGGGAAGUUGAUGGGGAGACAGGUAGAAAGUGGAACCAGACAUGUUGUACCAGGGAAGAAUCCAGGGAAAAGCCCACGCAGCUCUUUGGGUGCCAGAGAUCCACUAAGCCCCAUAGAAACCCCAGGAUUCAGCCCACUCUUUCCUGCUGGCUGUUGUGUUCCUUUACUGUGUGCAGUCCAGAAUGGCUCUACCAUUAGGCAGAAUGAGGCAGUUGCCUCAGGUAGCAGGUGCUGGGGUGGGUAGAGAUGUGUAGACCACACAAGCUGCACUGCACCUCCUCAGUUAGCCUGCUGCCGCAGCAGCAGCAUUGAGAUAAGAGCCAAUGGCCAGCCCAGCUCAGCUUGUGUAUGUGGAAUUAUGUGUACGGAGGGAGUAUCUUGUACAGGGGUGCUGGGUAUAGGAAGUGCAAGGGGCUUCAGCCAUGUAAAUGUGUUGAGGCCAGGGUCUCAAGCCCUGCAAUAUUGAGGGGCUAACAUCCCCAACCAUCACUGGGCACCCUAUGUGUGCCCCCACCCCUGCCUGGGAGACGAGGAGCCAGGAGGGGGCUGGGACAAGCGAGGGGAUCUUCACCUUCUCUCCCCAAAACUCCCCGGCAGUCCAGGAGUCGAGAGGGGCCUGGGACAAGUGAGGAUGAUCUUUGCCUUCAUUCCUCCCAGCCUCUGCCUGGUAUCCUGGCAGCCGGAGGGGGGCUGGGACGAGCGAGGGCGAAGAUCGCCUUCUUUGCUCUGCCUCCUCCUCCCUGCCCUAUGCCACACUUAUACAAUUUUCCACAUUUACAAAAAGAAAACAGCCAAAUACAUUUAUUCUUCAACUUCCUUUUCCCCCUUCCAGGGUUCCUUCUAAUUAUUAUCCUCCUGCUACUGCAUAUUCUAAUUACUCCAAAUAAAUUAUACGAUAUACAAUAGACAAUAUCUUUAUUCUCAUUGUCCCAUGCAGAACAAUGAAAUUGAAAAACUACAUAAAGCUACUACAAAACUACAUAGAACUACAUAAAAACUACAUAAAACUACAUAAAUACUACACAAAACAUUCAAAAACCUCUAAAAACUCUGAAACCCCAUUUUAAAAUACACUAUACUAUAGAGACCCCUUAUGUUACUCCAUUUAAGUAUAACUUACUCCAUAUAAAUUAUUUCUCACUUUCUCCCAACUUAAUUAUAUGCUGCUGAAUUUACUUUAAUUCUGCUAGCAUUUUUAUUUCUUAGUUAUCAGAAAAGUUUCCUCCAGCACUUCCUGCUGGAUAUGGAUAAUGGAGGAUGACAGAGACUGCUUGCUCUGAGCAGCCUGAUUGCUGUGAGGAUCGAAGAAUGGGGCUCAGGCAAAGCACCUUCUCAAAAAGAGCCUGAAGGAGAAGUUCAGGUUCUGAAGGGUCCAGUGGUGUCAAAAUAUGCUCUCUAGAUUCUCCCAAAGCUCCAUAGGGAGCUGAAAAGAUCCCAGAUUGAGCUCAGACACAUGGCACAAUUGAAGACCCGCAGAAAGCUGCCUCUUGUGCCUCCAUUGAAGCAGUGACAUCUCCAAACAAAGGAAUUUGGACCAAUUUGACAAGGCAAGAAAAAGAAUUUAAGGUAGUGUCAAUAAAACCAUUGGUCAGACUAGGUGGCAGAGAGCCCCCAGAUGCCGGUGUUGAUCUGCAUGGAAAAAAUAUGCAGGGACUGAAUUAAGAAUGAGAAUGAGAAGAAGUACAGUCUAGUGAUUAUUUUUACAAGCAUUCCAGGCGAAGAAUUUUGAUUAACUUGUGAUUUCUCUAAAGCUCUGGAUGCAGAAUUUUGGUGACUUUAUAAAUAUCUUCCAGCAAGCGGGUCAAAUCACAAAGAUCUUUAAAUGUUUUGGAAUGGAAGAGAGGAAAGUGGGACUUUGUGUUUUCCUUUCUUUUCCCUUUUUCCCUUUUAAAAAUACAUAUUUUAUAUAUAUAUAUUUUUCUUUGCCUCCUUUUGAUAACCCAAAGGAGAUGGACAUUGUGAGACUGAAUUUCAUCUGAAUUACUUUGUGGAUUGCUGAUUUUUUAAUUAUUAUUAUUUUUUUGGUAAUGCAUAAACUAAGGGUUAAUUUUUAUUUUUAUUCACUCUGUGCAUUUUUUCAAUUUUUUAUUGGGAUCUGAUGGGGUUAGAUACUAACUGGUGACAAAGGGUGGAAAUAUAGUGAUAUAGUGACACAGUGCAGCCCAAAAACUAAUUGCAGGGUCUUUUUUAUUUCCUUUUUAAGUAUUUCCCUAUAAUAAAGGAAAGAUCACCAUCUAGUGACAUUAUGAUAUGGCUAUGGCUAAAGUCGGCAAGAAACCACCUCCAGGCCCAUCACAACACCAAGUCAGAGAAAAGGUUUAAUUGUAGAAGGAGACACAAAUUUGACAUUAGAAUUUCAAUAGAAAUGAGAAAAGAGAUGGGGGAGGGUAUACAGAGACUAGGACAGAAGGCUGAUUUUAAUGCGCAGGCAGUCCAAAACUUAUCAGCAGAAAUUGCAGAACUGUCACAUAAAACUUCAGAAAUAGAGAAAACAGUACAGGAUUUAAAGGUGAAAACAUCCAGCUUGGAGGAAUCAUUUAAGAAAGUAGAAGGGGAGGUAAGAGAAACAAAGAGGAGCAAGAAAGAAUGAGGGGGGAUGCUGAAGCAAUCAAAUUGCUUUAUGAACAGACUCUGGAUGAGAUCACAGUUUUGGAAGUACAUCUAAAAGUUUUGAUUCUUAGUUUGAGAUUUGCCAGAAGAUACGGCAGUGGAAUUAAGUGAAAAAAUAAUGAAAGAACUUGAGAAUUUGAUUGAAAUGGGUGAAGAAACUGUUAAAGUGGCAGUGGAUAGAUCUUUUCAUGUAAAAUCAAGAUAUGCUAAAGCAAAAAGUCUGUCGGGUGAUUGUUUUAAAAAUUCAAAGAGAUUUAAAGACAGAAUAAUACAGAAGCACUAUCAGAAAAAUCUCAGGAUGAUGACCAGAGAAUAAUAAUUUUGAAAGAAAUCCUGAUGGGACUACUUCGGAAAGGAGCAAAUUACAAAUAUCUGAUGGACACACCGUGUUAAAACAAAAUCGCUUUUCAUUGGGGAAUACCCUGAUGGAGUCUCCUUUAUAUUUAAAGGGUGAAAGUAGAGAUGUAGAGAUCCCACAGAAGCAGAUAAAUUCUGGAGAAAAUAUGGAAAACAAUUAGCAGGAGAAAGAGCAUUUGGUUUGGAGCCACAACAUGAAGAAGAAUCAACAGAGGGGGAGAAGAGAGAUAAAUGAAUAAAGGACAAAAUGGCAUUGGUAAUCCUAAUGUGGAAUGUAAAUGGACUCAAUAAUAAAACAAAAAGGGCAGAGAUUGAACAUGUGGUAAAGAUAAAUAAUUUUGAACGUGAUUUGCUCUCAGGAAAUGCAUAUUGCGAUGAAACACAGAAGAAUUCUGAUCAAUAAAAGAUUAUUGAAAGGACUUGGGGGAUCUGGGCGGGAUUCUUGGCAGGCCUGGCAGUGUUUGACCCAGGCCUCUAUCUCUCCGUCGAUCCCCGGCCACCACACAUAACUCCUGGCCAGGGCCUUCAUUCUUACUACCCCUGGGUGUGUCUCGUGUAGGGCUGUGAGGACCCUUUUGCGGAGGGGCUGGGGAACAACGACCCUGCUUCCCCAUAACAGGCACCCCUUGUGGGCCGACAGUUCAUGUUUGCGGGUUGUGUAGCCGGCGAAUUCUGGCCCGGGGCUGCUGCUGGGCCAUCCCCUCCACACCCAGUCCAGGACCCGGGAGAUGACCCUAUCUUUCUUGGAAUGGUGUGCAACUUCUUGUGCCUGAAUGGGGCAGUCGGGAAGCAGCUCCAGGCUCAUAACCUCUUGUGCAGGUGCUGGGUUGGGGCCUGUUUCCGGUAGUGGUAGCCUGCUGAGGGCGUCUGCAUGGCCCAUCGCCUUCCCCAGGCGGUGAAUCAGUGCAUACUGGUAGCUGGCAAGGAAAAUUGACCACCUGAGGACGCGAGGAGACAGCACUUGGGGGGUCUGCUUUUUGGGGGCAAACAAGCCAAGCAACGGCUUGUGGUCAGUCACCACGGUGAAGGGCCGCCCGUACAAGAAAUCAUGGAAUGUUUUUACUCCCUUCACGAUUGCCAGACCCCCCUUGUCUAUUUGCAAGUAGUUCCGCUCGGUUGCGUUGAGUGUCUGGGAAAAGUAUGCCACCGGUACCUCUCUUCCAUCUGGGAGUUGUUGUCCCAGGACAGCACUAAUGCCAUAGGGUGAGGUGUCGCAUGCUAGCACCACCGGCAGCCUCUCAUCGAAGUGUGCCAAGACCGAGUUUGAGACAAGCAAGUCCUUGACUGCCUGGAAUGCGGCCUCCUGGCGCUGGCCCCACACCCAAGGGGCCCGCUUGUCCAGGAGUCUGUGUAGGGGCUCCGCUACCGCCGCCUUGUGGGGAAGGAAGGAAUGGUAAAGUUCAAUAGUCCCAAGAAGGCCUGAAGUUCAGUCUUGCUCUUGGGCGCUGGGGCAUCACAAAUGGCCCGUACCUUGUCCCCAGUCGGGUGGACCCCUUCUGCGUCCACCAUAAAUCCCAGAAAGUCCACCUGAGGCACUCCUAGUAGACAUUUUUCCCGCUUCACCUUGAGACCCGCCGUCUGGAAACGGUGCAGAAUGGUGCAGAGGCGGUCCUCAAACUCCUCUGGUGUGGGCCCGGCAAUCAACACAUCAUUGAAGAAGGGGGUGACGCCAGGAAUCCCUUUAAGGAGCGAGUCCAUUAGAUUCUGGAAUAUGCCUGGUGCCACACUGACACCGAAUUGCAGCCGCUUUACCCUGAACGCUCCUCUGUGCGUCACAAUUGUCUGUGCCUCUGCUGUGGCCUCAUCUACUGGCAGCUGUUGAUAUGCUUGGGCCAAGUCCAGCUUGCCAAAAUUUUCGACCCAGCCAGGGUGGCAAGGACAUGGCUGACCACUGGCACUGGGUAUGCAUGGGCCGUGAGGGCCUUGUUUAUGGUACAUUUGUAGUCUGCGCAGAUGCGGACCAAACCAUUAGGCUUGACGGGUGUGACGAUUGGGGUUACCCAGGGGGCAUUAGGCACUGGCUCCAGCACUCUUUGCUCCACGAGCCAGUCCAAUUCCUCAUCUAUACGGAGUUUCAGGGCGAACGGGACCCGGCGGGCCUUGAACCUGACCGGUCAUACUGCGGGGUCAAGCUGUAGAGCAAUGGGGGGGCGUAUACUGUCACAAUUUCCCAUCGAAAACCCCUGGAAAUUCCUUGCAUACAGUGUCCACGUCCACUUGUAAGCUAGUGUGGUUCACCCCGGUGAUGGCUAGCCCCAGUGGUCCAAACCAUGCCAAUCCCAGUAAGCUAAUGUAGGGGCCCUUGACCACAAGCAAGUCCAGUUGCCGUGUCCGCCCUCGGUAUUGCACCCUGAAGGUCCCCACCCCCAUUGUGGGGACCUUACGUUUCUGGAAGUCCCAGAGGGUGAAUGGGGCCGGCCUGAGUUUGGGACCCCAGUAGGACACAGUUUCCUUAAGGUCCUUGCCGAGAUUAUGGAUAGAGUUGAACCCGUGUCAAGCUCCAUGCGGCAUGGGGCCCCCUCUAUCUGUACCUCUACAUAAAUUUUCUCUAUGUUGGGGUGGAGCAAAUGGUAUACCUGGAAGUCCGUGAGCUCCGUCGAGUUGCCUUGGUGCGUUGGGCCUCGGGACCUGGGGCUCUUGGUCAUCUGAUGCCUGGCGUCGGGUGGGCCAAGCUCGACACACCCGGGCGAUGUGUCCUGGUUUUCUGCACUGCCUGCACUCUGCGUUGCGGAAACGGCAGGUCCUCCUCUCGUGACUUUCCCUGCAGCUUGCGCAGUUCCCUCCUUCUCGUCGAGGCAGCUGUGGUAUGUGGGCUGCUUGAGUGCGCUGCUGUACUCGGUGCACCUCCUCCCUGUCAGAUCCUGAGUCGUCGGUGAGGUCUUCGUGGUGGACCCUCGGUUGGGAUGGCAGGCUCGGCCAUGCCUCUUGCGUCGACCUCUCGGCAGCUUCUGUUGCCAGGGUCUCCUCCAGAGCAACCUGGAACGUUAGGUCCUUCUUAGCGUAGAGGCGUCAUUGCAGCUUCUCAUCCUUCAGGCCACCGAUGAGGCGGUCCCGAAGCAUGUUCUCCAGCUCUGAGAAGUUGCAGAACCGGGCGGCUUGGCGGAGAGAGGUCACAAACCCAGUUAUGGUUUCCCCAGGGGCUUGCCGCUUUGCGUAGAAGGCAUUUUGACGAGCCACCACUGAGGGCUGCGGCGAAAAGUGCCCCUUCAGCUGUUCCAUUAUUGUUUUGUAUGGAACAGUAGCGACGUCAUCAGGCGCAAGGAGAGCCCGGGUGAUUUCAAACGUCUCCUCUCCGCAGACGCUGAAGAAUAUCGCCCUCUUCUUGGUGUCUUCUUCAUCGGUGACCCCUUUGGCUUCUAGGAGGAAGGUGAAACGGGAGGCGUACGCUUCCCAGUCUCCAGAUGCUGGGUUGAACGGCGAGAAGCUGCUGUUGGUUGCCAUUCUGAGUUCCUUGUGUCCCGGAGCUGAAGCCUGGAUACACGGUGCGAGGCAGCGGUGCGGCAGGUGGCGGUGUUGCGGUGCUGUGUGUGGCAGUCAGCUCAGCGGGAUCCCACCUUCGUCACCAGUGAAAUAUACUCAGAGUCGCAAAGUGAUUUCAUGCUCUUUAUUCAGCUCAUAGUGGUGAGGAGGAAUGAGUGAAUGUCCCCUCAAAGUAUCUGCUUUAUAUACAUUAUUUACACAAUGAGACAUUACAAUACUAACAAUAUGCAUAAAUGGCAAAAGUUACGGGAAGAAUAAGAAAUUGAGAUAACAAACUUUUUAUAAAGGAAUGGAAAUGGUUUAUUGAAUAUUUACAGAUAAGUUGAAAACAGCUGAAAACAUUAGGAUUAUGAUAAUAACGUGCAGUUUCAUAAGAAUAUAUACAGGUAUUUAAAGUAGAUAAUUAAAUGAGCAAGUUAAAUAAAUUGGGAUAUGCAGAAGAUAUUAAAAAAUAAAUUUAAGGAACCACAGAUAGAGGAGAAAGGAAGUCAAACUUUGAAAUGUUAAAAUGAUUGUAAAACUAAUGAAAUCUAUAAACUUGAAAAGUAUAGAUUAAAACUUUUAAAAAAGAAAAAAGAUGGAAAAGUUUCGUCACGCAGCAAGGCAUCCUGCCUUGCUUCCUCCAUCUCCUUAGCUUCCCAAGGACCCACCCCUGAACCACUGAGUGUCUCUGGCUAAUGGCUACCACAGUGUAUGAAAAUCCUUUUUUCUGGGGUGGCAAUGAUAUGUUGGCUACUGAUGGCUAAAGCAGAAUUGUCUUUCUUCAAGAAUCUGGUUUUCAGAAGUUUGUAACCUUCAUGAAAUCUCCCACGGGUGAAUACAUUGUCAUAUUUCUGAUGAUCCUCUUUACUACGUUGACACUGCUGCUUUUCCUGCUAUGUAAGUACAUAAUUGGCGUACUUUGCUACUACUGUGUUGGGCUUUGCUUGAAUGCCAAUAGCAUUUCCAAAAAGAGAUGGUAGGAUCCAGUUUACAUUUACCCCAUUUGCCCGCUCUCUUUGAUAUCAGGGAGGGACUUACAGCUGUCACCCACUGAAAGCAAUGACACUGUCUUGUUCUCCCUGAAUAAGUGAGUUCCAGCAUUUGGAACAGAAGCACAGGCUUACACAAGUCCCUGGAACACCCUGGACAAUUCCCUUUCCCAGUUGCCAUUCUCUGCUCCUUUCCCAACUAAUCCUCAUUUGCUGGGGGAGAGCCCCCAUUCCUGAUCCUCGCCACCCUGCCCUCUGCUAGGGCUCCAGUCCCCUGAAGGAAAGUGCUUGGGGAAAACAGGCUGCAGAGGAUAAGGCCAUGGCCAAAGAGGGUGGGACCAGAGCCUACCUAAAUAUUGAAAUAUAUGCAGGGCUUUUUUUCAGCUGGAAUUCAUCAGGACUCAGUUCUGGCCCCUCUCAGGUGGGCGCCAUUGCCAUUUUAAGAGAAGAAGGGAGGCAUUCAUGCUGAGUUCCAGCACCUCUUUUUGUAGAAAAAUAGCACUGGAUAGAUGAGCCCUUGACCUAUUUGCACACCUAAUUCAUUUUCAAAGGGCACUCAAAAGUAAGCAAAUCUCGAGUGGAAGGAAUCAAAUGUUCCAAGAAUUUGCAUAUUUAAAGCAUGUGGCAGAGCAUGAGGCAGCCUGGCAAAUGCAAGACUGUAGGACAAAGAGGACAGAUGUAUCUAGACAACCAAAAAGCUAAAGCUCUCAAAGGAAGGCCAAACCAUCUGAUGACAGAAGUAACAGGCCAAAUUGAAACAGCGGCUGCCCUGCUGGUCUGAAGUCCUACCAAGAGCAGGAAAUAUUAAUAGAAGUCAUAUUCAUGGUUUUGUUGAUUUGAUUUCUUAUCUGCGUUACAAGUCAUCAAUUUAAAUUCAAUAUUAAAAGCAGUUUGAAACCAAGUAUCCCCUCCCCCAGGUAGUCAGACAUUUUAAUCAUUUCUUUUCUACCUACCUCCUCCUUAGAUCAAAAGGAAGUAAAAAAAAGAGAUGAGUUUCAAAUGGCAAUGGAUAUGAUUCGGACCUUUGUUGUUGGGCUUGAUACAAUCCAUGAAGACAAGGAUGGUAAGCAUUUUUUUAUCACAGUUUCAUUGCUCAGCAGGAAGAAAAGCAGAUGGUUGUGAUUCUCACAUCCCCCCACUAGAAAGGCUGUCCUUCCCCAUCAAAUUGUAAUUCACAAUGUUUGUGCUACUGCAAGAUUUUAGCACUAGCACAAGGGAACUUUGCCCCCACUUCUCCCUGCAUGCCAUCACCAAAGCUGCUCUGCAGGGUGGGGGAAACUUCAGAACAGAUUGGAGGGAAAGGGGCUGAAGAUUGCAUUGCACAAGGAGACAUUUCUGCACUGACAUAAUGUCCUCCUUAGAAUUAUGUGGAAUGCAACCCAGUAUUCAUCAGAAAAAGAGUUUUGGCGCCUUCAUUUUCUUAGAUCUCACAAAGCAUAACAGAAAACUGCAAAGUAUUCUUUGUAUAUUUGGCUUUACUGUGGGACUCGAGGUGGGAAUUGUUUUAUGACCCAGUGAUUCCCAGCAGAAAAGGAGGACAUAGGAGAGGAACAUUAGAGAUACUUCAUGAGGCAGUUAUAAUAUGAGAAUAGGAUAGUGGAUUGCAUGGGUCUUUGGUCUGAUCCAGCUGCAGGAUUCUUCUGAGGCUUUUCAUUGGUGAUUUCAGCCACAUAGAAUCAAGUCUGUCCUCAUAUUCAUAAGAACCUGAUCCUUGAGCUCUGCUUCUUGUUUCAGGCUAGAGUGUUUGAAUAGUUUGAAAAUGGUUUCUUAAUAUUUGCAGAUUGUUAUUUCAGAUACUCUUUUGCCUUGAACUAUUUCAAAUCUUUUAGACUUCGGAAUACUUGCUGUAGCACAAAACAAAUCAGAGGAAAUGCGGUAUCUUGCCAACAAAAAUGAUGAACUACAAAAAGUAAUUGGUAAGCUACCCUAUGAUGCUGAAGACUUGUAGCGCAUUGGGAACCUGCCCUGAUUCUGCCCCAGCUGAAAGCCCCUCCUCUAGCUGAAUACUCUUAGAGCCAGAGCAGAGUGCUGCCCUCCUUUGAAUCCAGCCACCCUAGGGAAACAUCAGAGAUAUUCAGUUCAGCUCUCCUGAACUUUUGAAUUGACUUAGCCUCUAUGGUUAGGAAAGAAAAGAUUUUGCCAUUCUUUGCUAUAACAGAGACAAUCAAAACAGGUCAGCUGAAAGACCUGUCCUUUAUUAUUUUCACUCAUGAGAGCCCCGCCUCUGCAGAGACAAUUAAAAGAGGUCAGCUGAAAGAGAGAGAUUCAUGAGCAGCACUUAGAAGGCAACUUCCGCCAACUUGGUCAGAGAGACUGCUGGGCAGUGGGGUGUUUGGUGCAACAGUAAAAUCUCUCUCCUGUUUCACAAGCCCAUCAUCAGAAAGUGUAAAGUGAUUAUAAAAUUGUCUAUAAAGCUUUAGAUGUGAAAGCAAAGAAUGGGAAUGAAUGCAUAUUACAUCACUUGUACAUAAAAAGCAAGCUAAAGAUGUUCAGCAAAACCAGGUCUAAAUCCUGAUUGACAUGGAUCUAGAAAAGUAGUUUUCUCCAAGAGCAUCUGGAUCUGGUCCACAACCACCCUCUCAAGAACCUUGCCCAGGAAGGGGAGAUUAGCAACCGGCAGGCAGUUACUUAGAUUUUCUGAGCACAGGGAAGAUUUCUUAAGGCCUGCCUUCAAGGAGGCUGGGACCAGCCCCUCUUGUAAAGAGGCAUUAAUCACCUUUCUAGUCCAGCCAGCUGUCCCUUCCCUACUAGUUUGUAUCAGCCACAAAGGGCAGGGUCCAGUGUGCAAGUGGUUGUCCUGACCAAUCCAAGGACCUUGUCCACAUUCUUGAACCUUGUUGGAUAACUGCCCGGGUCCGGCACGUUUCCCUGAGCCAGAAAUCCCGGCCGGCAGCAGAGCAGCAGCGUGUGCUUGAUGUGUGAGUGAAGAGAGAGUCAUAGAAUCAUAGAAUCAUAGAGUUGGAAGAGACCACAAGGGCCAUCGAGUCCAACCCCCUGCCAAGCAGGAAACACCAUCAGAGCACUCCUGACAUAUGGUUGUCAAGCCUCUGCUUAAAGACCUCCAAAGAAGGAGACUCCACCACACUCCUUGGCAGCAAAUUCCAAUGUCAGAACAGCUCUUACUGUCAGGAAGUUCUUCCUAAUGUUUAGGUGGAAUCUUCUUUCUUGUAGUUUGGAUCCAUUGCUCUGUGUCCGCUUCUCUGGAGCAGCAGAAAACAACCUUUCUCCCUCCUCUAUAUGACAUCCUUUUAUAUAUUUGAACAUGGCUAUCAUAUCACCCCUUAACCUCCUCUUCUCCAGGCUAAACAUGCCCAGCUCCCUUAGCCGUUCCUCAUAAGGCAUCGUUUCCAGGCCUUUGACCAUUUUGGUUGCCCUCCUCUGGACCCGUUCCAGUUUGUCAGUGUCCUUCUUGAACUGUGGUGCCCAGAACUGGACACAGUACUCCAGGUGAGGUCUGACCAGAGCAGAAUACAGUGGCACUAUGACUUCCCUUGAUCUAGAUGCUAUACUCCUAUUGAUGCAGCCCAGGAUUGCAUUGGCUUUUUUAGCUGCCGCGUCACACUGUUGGCUCAUGUCAAGUUUGUGGUCAACCAAGACUCCUAGAUCCUUUUCACAUGUACUGCUCUCAAGCCAGGUGUCCCCAACAUGUAUUUGUGCCUCUCAUUUUUUUUGCCCAAGUGCAAUACUUUACAUUUCUCCCUGUUAAAAUUCAUCUUGUUUGUUUUGGCCCAGUUCUCUAAUCUGUCAAGGUCGUUUUGAAGUGUGAUCCUGUUUGUGCCUAAUCUAAACAGCUUCAUUUACACAGACAGAUAAAACAAACAAUCCCGUCAGAGACUGGAGCCAUAGCAUUUAUCUCUGACUCUUCUCUGGUGAGAAGUGAAAGUAACUUCACAGGCAAAGAACUCAGCUCCUGGAUGUAGGAAGCUCCUCCCCAGAUGCAGGACACAUAGAGGUUAACCCUAUAACUACCAAACCUCACAAACCUUACUGACUGAAACAUGCCCAACACAAUGGAAACAGACUCUGCUCUGGACAUUCUUUGAGAUUUGUCUGCUGUAAUAGCAGGGUGGGUCAAGAUGCCAGGGGAUGCAAGCAAAUGCUUUGAAAGCAAGUCACAGAAAGCUGCUUUCAGUUCUAUCAUCUCCUUUGGGCCAGACUGUGGCAGGCCCCACACUACCUGGGAAGGAAAGCUCUGCUGGAUAGCACAAUGGAGGAAGCAAAGCAAGGCUUCUUUGUAUCCUUCACUGCCACUUGGAAGGUUCGAGGAUGAACCCUCACCAGUAGUUGAAUCCAUUCAAUCAGAUUUUUCCUCCACUUGCAUUCAAGCCAUCUCCCAACUUCUUUUUUCGCCCUCUCCUCUGCAGUAUACUAGGGGGAAAACAGGCUGUAUGAAGUGGGAGAGGGUACUCAGGGCCAAUUGUGUCCAUGGCCCAAGCCAAGGCAGGGGGUCUUCUGGGUAGUUGUGCCCACCUUGUGGCACUCCCUCCCCCCAGAUGUCAAGGGGAAAAAACUACUAUCUGACUCUCAGAAGACAUAUGAAGGCAGCCCUGUUCAGGGACGUUUUAAAUAGUUGAUUGUGUUUUAAUUUUUUGGAAGUAGCCCAGAGUGGUUGGGGGGAAACCCAGUCAGAUGGGCAGCAUAUACUUUGUUGUUGUUGUUGUUGUUAUUUGGUUGUUCCAGAGAUCAGCCAAAACUCAGCAGAAGCACCUGUCAGAUCAGCUGGAAAAUCCCCCAGAGCCAUUUGGAAGCCCACUGGAUUUGGAAGCCCACUAGAUUCAUCCUGUCAGCUCCAGCAGGGAGAAUGCUUGGCAGCAAACUGGGUGGUAAACCAGCAGAAUCCCUCAUCUGUCCCAGUUGCCCAAUGCCAGGAACCUACAUUCUAGAUUCCCCUCCCCCCUCCACAACUUAACAGAGGGCCUGGAAAGAGAAAGAGAAUUUUGAUAAACCACAACUACUCCCCCUUCCCAACCUUCAAGUCUGCCCUGAUUCUGCCCUGAGUAUCCAGGUGGAAACAAGUAGGUGAGGUUCUUGACUGUGCUCCCUGUUCCACCUAUGCCCACCCAGGUAUUUACUGCACCAUCAACAUGGGUUGAAGAGUUAAUGUUUUUCUUGUUUUAAGAUUUCUGAGCUUCCCAGAUGAAUAUAUGUUAUCACGUGGAGACGGAAAUGAACUUAAUAAAAAUAAUUGAAAUCUGCACAGACAUACAAGGUGGUUCCCAUUAAAUUCCCUAUCUUGUUUUCUUUUUCUGAUCUUCCUGCAUAUCUGGCUUGACUCAAAGACGACCUUACUGACGACUUGCAAGAGGGUUGGUUUAUAUAUCAAAGGACAAUGUAUUUCCUUUCUCGUGACCAAGACUCAUGGGCAGAUUCCAAAAAAAAAUGUGAGAGAGAAGGUGCCCAGCUCAUGUCUGUGGAAACAAGGGAAGAACAGGUGAGCAUCAAAGCUAAGUAUAGGAAAGGUAGGGGCCAAAGGGUAGGAGCCAAAGGGCUCCUAUCAUCACUAUCUAUUUAGGAAGGUUACAUGUACCUGUAUGCAGCCAAGACAGCAAUUCCAUCAGUCAAGCCAAGGGGUGGGAGGGGCAGGGAGAGCUGCUACCAUCUGGGACUCAAUAAGGUUUCUUGGAGCUCCUGAGCUCUAAUAGAAUGAAGCUGGCAGUCAGGAAGGAGAUCUUCAAGGAGGAAGAGGAGUAGAUACUUCAGAGGCAUCUAUCACUUGGAUUCUCUGUAAAUUCUUCCUCUGUUCUUUGCGAUGUAUUCAGUUGGUGGGGGGGGGAGGCUACCCUCACCAUGCUAACCUUCUGGCAGGAGAGUAUCAUGGAGAUGACUCUAGAGGAGCUUGCAAGGUAUAUCCUUUUCCCAGCGCUUUAGCUCUGGCACAGGGGCUACUGGGCUGCUGCAGGGCACAGACAUGGGUGAGAUCCCAUCAUCAUGCCAUCAAGCAUACCACAACCGGACUGAUUCCAGUGUCUCUGGAACCAACCAUCAAACAUGGAUGCAGAAAUUGGAGUAUUUGACACACAGGUCACUGUCCUGCUAGGUGGUUCCAUGACCAACUGUUCUCUGGCACAGUCAUUUACAGUAUCUGGAAAUUAUAACUCUGUGUCAUGACUGGACAUAUGUAGUCAGUCUCGGUGAGGGCAGGUGAAGUUCCCCUUCACUACAAUAUUUCCUCUUUGGGAUGCUUCCUUGAUUCCAUCACCAUCAUCUUCGUCAUUCAUGAUCAUCACCAUCAGCAUCAUAAUUUUGAUCAGGGGGACAAUACCACAUCCAGUAUAUGAAAUUAUUAUUGGAGAUGGGAAUACAAUGUAUAGUUUUGAUCACUUUUCCGCCAAAAAUUGGAUUGGGUCUUCAAAUGUGAUACCUUCUCCUUUUAAAAUGUGUUUGUUUUAUGCCUGUUGAAUUUCUGUAAAGGGCUAUAGUCUCCCAGAGAAAGGGACAUUGUCUUAAAAGAUUUUAUUUGUUCUUUCUCAACACCCCUACCCUAGUUUUUUAUAAACGAGCAAGUACAAAAGCGUAAGAAGUUUUUUUGGUUUGGAGUCUUUAAAGACAAGGCAAAGAAAUGGAGAUGGCUGGCAGGAAUAGAGACUAUAGUCACGUAAGUUUCUGCAGAAACAUUUGUUAAUGGCAUGCAUUCCAAAAAGUUGCAGAUUCUGUUUACAUAAUUCAUUCUUUCCCUUUCCAAAUAUAUUUUGUUAUGCAAUUUUCUCUACUACCAAAGACCUACAUAUGUACUCCUCCACAUCAUUGCCCAUUGCCCAGGAAGGCUACUCUUCCUGCUUCUCUAACCUAAUGAAUGUGGUGAUUCGGGAGAGGCUGAAGGCAGGCUUUUAAAUGGUUUGUGCUCCUUAGUUCAGCUUCAAAAGGACUUGCAGGAACCUAAAGCUGAGCAACACUGUCAGCUGGCAGUUUAAGACACUUCAUGGUUCCCUUUAAGUAUCUAACAACUCUUUUCAGCUUGUGUGGAUGGAUGUACAAGGUCAGAGUAAGAUCUCACUCAUCCACAGCUUGGUAGUAGAACAGAGAACUGGACUGGCAUUUAUUACCAAGACUGCAUUAACAGAGGGCUGCUUUCAUUUUUGCAAGGUCUCCUGGAACAAAAUCCAAUGACAUUCAUCUCUAUUGAUGCACCCAAUACCAACCACGAAUCCUUUUUGACAAAGGUAUUGAGUAAACUUUACAAACAGGCAGUGGGGUUGUAUAAUACUAGCUGGGAAAUUAAACCCUGUAUGCCAGUGGUUCACAGUUAGCUAAGUACUGCAGACCCCUUCGUUUUCAAAAGCCACGCCAUGGGCCACCGUACCUUUGAACAUUUUGAUAUCUCUGUGGCAGUUUUAGUUAUGUGAAUGACACCAUGGAACCCCUGGGUGGGUGGUCCAUGGACCACCAAUUGGGAGCCACUACUGUAUGUGAUCUUAGACUUGAUCACCCAAACAUCUCGUGGGAGUAAAAAACACCUACUAUUACUAGUAAUAUAAAUUUAAUAGAUUUACAGAGAGCUAAAAAUGAGGAAGUUAUCACAGAAUGAGUUUAUCACAAAAUUUUAGUGCUGUGUAGUGGGACUUGAUUCAGGAUACAAUGGACACUGGAGAAUGCAAGUGACAAUAAGAGUGAGGCUACGGUGAUACCUUUGUCAAUUAUGGAUAAUUGAUUAAACUUAGAAUCAGCAUGUAAGAUUUAGAUAAGAUAUAUAUGUGAGAGAUAUCAUAUCAUUUCGGACAACUGUAUAAUGGCUUUGUGGUUAUAGAUUAUAUUUUGUAUUCCAUUUGUAGACAUAGCUAUGUUUGUUUCUGUAUAGUGUCAUUGCUAUCCUCAUGCAUGUGGUGGGUGAUGGAUGUCAGAUGAGGUGGAUGAAGGCGGAUGCAAAUCUAACAUGGUUUUAAUAUGCUCAGAACAAUCACUACUGUGCUAACUCUGCUACUUGAGAGUAAGGAUCUCUCAUCACUCACAAGGGUCCAGAGCAGAUCUGAGGAGGAUGUGGGUGCAUAUGGAAAGGAGAGAGGGCCAGUUCUGUUGCAGAAAUGGAAAUCCUGGCAAUAGCAGAAGUACUGCAUUGGAUACUGCCCAAACUAAACUGACUGACAGUUCUUGUGUGUACCACUGAGCCUUCCAAAGUGACACCCUCACUUUUUGUAGUUUCCUAUGAGAAAAGAAAAGAGACAAUCUUGACCCACAGUUGUUGUUGUUGUUGUUUUCCUUACACGGUUAGAAUUCUAAAAUCUGGGGAGAAAUAUCCAUCCCAAUUGUGGGUGGAUGUUAAGAGAGAAAGAGCUGGACAUCUUUUUAAUGGUAGAAGGCAUGGGGAGCACAUGAGGAAGUAGACAUCCAAUCUUGAUUGCUCAGUGCUGCUCUUUUCUUUUCAGGUACUGGAAAAAAGAUGAGCCUAAAAACGAAGACAGAAACCAUUGUGCUGCAGUAGGCCUUGAUUGCGAAAAGGAUUGCUGGAUUGCAUUACACUGUGAGCAACGCAUAGGGUACAUUUGUAAAAAGGUGCCAGAUGAUGCUUGGCUCUAAGAAGACACUUUAAGAUGAACGAAACUGGAUCUCAUGAUCACUACACAAAAACAAAAACAAGAGAUCACCCCACCUCACUGUUUUAAUGCACAAUCCACACUGUCAUUUAGAUUAUGGGUCUGUCUGGCAUCAGCCCUCAAAAACACCUUGAAAAGACCUUAUUCUGCAAGCUCAAACGUAGAUGGCUACGAAAAUAAAGAAUGGAAGGGUCCAAGCAUA